rnacentral:misc_RNA from 1 species
GUAUUGUAUAUAAGUGAGGUGACGCAUGUGUGUGUACUGGCGUGGCUGGGUGCUCCCUCUAGCGUGUAUAUGGUGUGAGGUGUUCAGUACACCGUGAGGCCCCGCGGGUGGUGGUAACGUCCCUCUCUCAAACACCUGUCGCACUACCCCUGCACCACCACACCUCCCUCUAGUCGGGGAAUAGGUAAUAGUGUCAGAAGGAGUCAUUGAUGGAGAGAUGAUAACGGAAUCCUCAUGUUUUCUCCCGGAGGAAAUAUUUGUGUUGAAUCAGUCCUUACUUUGAGAGGGAGUGAGUUCCAAAGAACGGGUCCUUUUAUUUGCACGGAGUAAGAACAUAA